rnacentral:lncRNA from 1 species
CCCACUGGGAACUAUAAAUUAUAGUUCUCACGCCCUGUGUUUUAUGUUUUCUUUCAGAGCCUUCCACGCCGGGAGAGGCUAGGGACCGUGGGAAGGGAGUUGCUUUGAGCUAGCUUCCUUCGAGGGCGAUUCGAUAGGUGGUCUACCUCUCGUUAUUUUAUUUUGUGAGAGGUUGAGAGUUUUACCAGUGUAUUAGAGACCACCAUUUUUGUACUUUUGAGACUGAUAGUGUACUACUUAUGGUUUCUUUUAUCGUCUAGCUUUAUCUCUUUACUUUGGUGUAGAUGAUAGAACUUUACUCGCUCUGAUAUCAUUAGUUGCUAGUUAUUUUACUUCUUUAUUUGUUCUAUCUCUUGCUUUACUUCCGCUUUUAUUGUAGACGCCUUAUAUGUGUAGACAUAUGGCGGGUCUGGGCACGCUACCGGGAGGGCCUCCGCCGGUCCCGGGGCGUGACACAUAUUUUGAGCAUAUGUGCAUUUUUGAGCAUCUUGCAUAAUAGGGUUAAUUGUGAGCUUCUUAUAGCCUAAUGUAAAUUCAAAUGCAUGUUAAAUAUUUGUAAGAAUGUGAGAAUGAUGAUCCCUAUGUAUGCAUGAUUGUGACAAGAACCUAGAAGGGUUAGUAAACAAAAAGUGACACUAUGACAUAGAUUUAGCAAGUGAUAUUGACGAGUCUAGAACACUUAGUAAACAAGUGUGGCAUUUGGCAUGAGGACAAGAAUAUAGCACUUAGAGAACAAGUGUGGCAUGAGUACAAGAACUUGAU